CCAAAGUAGGGAAGGAGUGGGAAGGGAGAACAGUUGACUCCGUGACAGCCUGCAGAGAGCAGAACACCAGCUCAUCCAGGACCUUGGUCUGCAGCUCUGUUCAUCAUGACCAACACGGCUACCAAGUACACCCCUGAAACAUGGAAGAUGCCGAAUUUUAGCCGCUUUUGGAUUUUAAACUUCAUUGCAGAACAACAAGGACUUUUUUUUGCCACCCUGCCUCCCAUCAGACACCUUCAGGGAAGGAAUUCUACCUGAUCAACACAUCAAAGAGCUACUCAACACAGCUCACAAAGACAUUCUCAUGGACCCAGAGGGACAGACUUCCAUCUUCAACUCCCUCUGUGCAAAAAUGAAGUUUAUUUCCUACCUAUGGGGACUUUUUACCAUCUUGUACCAUCUACACUUUCCCCAGAGCCUGACGAAGGGGCUUUGAUCCUGAAAGCUUGCAGAAAAGGACAAUUUUCUUGCCAUUUUCCAGUUGGUCUAAUAAAAGGUAUCAUUUUGGAACCACAA